GGGAUAUGAUGAGUGGUAAAUACUCGCAAUUAAAUAUGCGAGAUGGGUGUCUGCCUAGCCUGUUACGACAAUGGGGCACUCCCUUCUUAACCAAUCUGAUCCC
rfam:Erythranthe guttata cultivar DTN x IM62 scaffold_2_contig_231, whole genome shotgun sequence.